ACACAGACACAGACACAGACACAGACACAGACACACACAGAGAGAGAGAGAGUUGGAACAAUCACUCUCUCCUAUUUGAUGGACUCAGCCCCCCCUUCAUCAGUAUUUGGCGUUGAACCACCCUACCAGCCCGUACUGCAGCAGGCUGAAGACAGGCUCUCAAAGUCACUGGCAUCUGACAGAAAACCCUCCCUACCACACAAAGAAAGGAAGGAAGGAAGAAAACAAUAAGAAGACAGAUUAAGAAGACAGAUAAGAGCAAAAGCCAGAGUGUGACUUCAAAUCAAAGCAAGUGUGUUAAGUGAGACUUGUUCCAUACUGCCACAGCCAUGGCAGACAGUGUGAUUGAGGAGUCAGACUACUACCCUGGGAAGGAUGAAUUGGACUGGGGAUAUCAGGAAGUAGGUAAAGAACUUAAAGAAGGUGUAGAGUGGGGUUUGCUGUUCCCUGAUGCCAAUGGGGAGUACCAGUCACCCAUCAACCUGAACUCCCGGGAGGCGCGUUAUGACCCCUUGCUCCUGGACGUGGGGCUAACACCCAACUACGUUGUGUGUCGGGACUGUGAGGUCAUCAACGAUGGACACACCGUACGCAUCAUGCUGAGGUCCAAAUCAGUGGUAACUGGUGGACCGUUGCAAAUUGAUCAUGAGUACGAGCUGCAUGAGGUGCGCUUCCACUGGGGCAAAGAGAACCAGCGGGGCUCAGAACACACAGUCAACUUUAAGGCCUUCCCCAUGGAGCUCCAUCUGAUCCACUGGAACACAACCUUGUUCAACAGUGUGGAGGAAGCCCUGGGUAAGAAGAACGGAGUUCUCAUCAUCGCUCUGUUUGUGCAGAUAGGGAAGGAGCAUCUGGGGUUGAAGGCCAUAACAGAAGUGCUGCAGGACCUACAAUACAAGGGGAAGACCAAGAUCAUACCGUGCUUCAAUCCCAACACACUACUUCCUGACCCUCUCCUGAGAGACUACUGGGUGUAUGAGGGCUCCCUGACCACCCCUCCAUGUAGUGAGAGCGUCACCUGGAUCCUGUACCGCUACCCACUCACCAUCUCACAGUUACAGAUAGAGGAGUUCAGGAGGCUCAGGUCCCAUCUGAAAGGUGCUGAUCUACCUGAGGGGAAUGACGGGAUGUUGGGAGACAACUUCCGCCCCUCUCAGCCCCUCAGCGACAGGACCGUCCGGGCUGCCUUCCAGUGACCACCCCCCUUCCCUCCACGGGAGAUCUUUAGUUCCACGUUUAACAGGACUAGCUGUGGCGUUGUGUGUGGAGCGGAGGGAUAUCUAUUUUAGAGCUCGCAUUGGGAACACCUGGGAAACAACUGGAAAAGUACUCAUUUUGAGUGGCUGAAUUUGGAUGUGCUCAACCGAUGGCACAGGGACAAAGUGUGGCUUGGCCUCAACUGCAUUGCGCAAAUACUUUCUGCCCGCUGUGACUCUGGUCCUGUCUCCAGUCCCACAUCUUGUCAUCCUGCUAUUCUGUCCUGGAUUCCCCACUCUACUACCCCCUUGGAAUCCCCGCCGGACCGGCUUACCCUGUCUCAACCCCUCUCGCUCCAGCCUCCGCACCCUCAUCUGGUUUCCAGCAACCCGCCCGAGCUUCCCAUGACCUGCACUCCAUCUCCCCCCUGUGUUUCAAUAAAUACCUUGGUUAUUUCAUCCCAGUCUCCUUGUCGGAGUCUGCUACUGGGUUUCACUCCGCGUAACAGGUAUAAGGAUUCAUAAGGAUUAUGUGACAUAAAGUGUGCCUGAAAAUGUAAUUUCUAGCUCUGUAACCAUCAUAGCGCAUAUACAGGAAACAGGAUAAUAGUUUGUGGAUUUAAGAGUGGAAAAUAUUAAUAUUAAUAUUGCACAAUGUCAAACAACUCUAACCCAAAACAUAGGACUUAUAAAAAAUAACCCUUUGCUCCUCUACCCGCUACCUCUGUGGCCAAACCCAGUCGUAGCGGCGACAUGAUUGCUGGAAUGUUCCAUCUGCAAAAUAUUCCCUUUUUUUAUUUUCAUAGUGAAAGGAGGGGAGAGAGAGAAUGGCCUUGUUGAAUCAGCUGGAAGUUAUGUUACAUUGAAUCCCCUGGACUGGUAGCUACAGAUUGUAACACCAGAUUUGGACCACUAUAUUGGUAGUUACAGAAAUGGCUGUACAAAAUGUUGCUGGACAUUUUUCAACUAACCUGGUAUUUGCGAUACUAUCUUUGUCCUCGAAUCGUGGAAACCGGCGUUUCAUAAAAUGGCUGUGUCCAGUUUCAGGGAGUCCAUUUGAAAUCGAUAAAAUGCUCUGUUAAAAUAAAUUAAUGUUUGUUUGCUCCAUGAAGUAAUCCAGCAAUGUGUACACCACCAUCUUGUCUUUUUCAAAUCUUCUCUCAUUGAUUGAGACAGGGUGGUCUACCCUAAAGGGCCGCAUGCCAGGAUGACAGAAGCCCGUCUCGAUUAAUGAGAGAAGAUUUGUAGAAAGAUGACGGCACACACAUUGUUGCCAAUACCAGGUUAGCUAAAAAAAUGCCAACAUUUUGUAGAGCCACACCUGUAACUACCAGUAUAAUGGUCCACAUUUCUGUGGUUAAGUCACAUUAUCUGGUGUUACAAUUUAUAGCUACUGGACUUGGAGGGAGCUCACAAAGGCACGAUUUUACUCUGUUGAUUAAGGCAGCGCUGACAGACCAACCAGCUGGCUUCACCUGUGACCUGGAACAUAGCCAUUCGCUGUUGGCUGGUACAAGAUGUAUCCAUGCUCUGGAAGGAGAGACAUGAUUGGCUCUGAUCCAAUAUCCUCACUAACAGUAGUAUACUAGAUGGAAGCACUGGAUUGGGCAUGCAUUCUUACUGGUGUGAUAGUGGGGCUAUUGGUGGAAUGUAGUCCUAGUGAUAGGAUUUGUGCAGGCUUCAUGCAGGUUUGCAUUCUUAGUUUGGGGCAUGUAAUUGUACUGUACUGUCACGAAGGUUGUGUAAUAAGUAGAAAAAUGUGAAUUAACUAACACCUGUUCCUAGGGAUUUUCAAAAUAUGGAAAAUAAAUGUACAGUACAUUACUUUUUUUUAAAUGCUGUUAAAACCACACUGUCUCUCAGAAUAGGAAACACUAACAAGCAGAAACAUAUGUAGUUCUGUAUAAUAUAAAUGGUCAGGUCAGGUUUAAUGACCUCAGGUCAGGUUUAAUGCCAUAUAAUCUCAGAUGUCUCAUAGGCUGAUAUUUGUUGAGAUAUUUCCGUCAGCUUCUGGCUCCUGUCCUCGCAGUAUUAAACGCAGUGUUUUUGUGCUUUUCGAUAUCUGCUUAUAGGAAGCAUGGCAAUAGACGAUUAGACCACAGUGUGCCCUUUCUUGUAAAAACAAAGGAGACAUCCAUCAAAGGUAAAUGACCUUUUAAGGGCUAUAGACAACACAGUACAGCCCAGGGUUAUAGGCUAUGAAAAUGAAACAAUGAAGACUUGAAUUUUGUUGAAUUUUUUUUUUAAGGUUCUGUAGUUCUUGUACUGACUAAUGUGAUAAUGAUGAUGAUGAUGAUAAAGAUGACUCUUACUGUCACUUAACAAUAAAGGUCAAACUGUUAGUAGUAA